rnacentral:rRNA from 1 species
UGAGUAACCUGCCCUUAACUCUGGGAUAAGCCUGGGAAACUGGGUCUAAUACCGGAUAUGACUCCUCAUCGCAUGGUGGGAGGUGGAAAGCUUUUUGUGGUUUUGGAUGGACUCGCGGCCUAUCAGCUUGUUGGUGAGGUAAUGGCUCACCAAGGCGACGACGGGUAGCCGGCCUGAGAGGGUGACCGGCCACG